UACGUAGGGACCAAGCGUUGUUCGGAUUUACUGGGCGUAAAGGGCGCGUAGGCGGCAAUUCAAGUCACUUGUGAAAUCUCUGAGCUUAACUCAGAAACGGUCAAGUGAUACUGCUUUGCUAGAGUACAGAAGGGGCAAUCGGAAUUCUUGGUGUAGCGGUGAAAUGCGUAGAUAUCAAGAGGAACACCUGAGGUGAAGACGGGUUGCUGGGCUGAUGACUGACGUGGAGGCGCGAAAGCGUGGGGAGCGAACAGG
rnacentral:rRNA from 1 species